rnacentral:sRNA from 1 species
CGAUGAAGGCGAACAGCUUCCAGCACGAAUCCAGCGCCGCCCGGCAGGCCACCGGCAUGACCUCGCGCGCGCGUCGACCGGAACCCCACAUCCUCGCUGGGUAACCGGAGCUUCGUGCUGUCUG